rnacentral:rRNA from 1 species
UACGUAGGGGGCUAGCGUUGUCCGGAAUCAUUGGGCGUAAAGCGCGCGCAGGCGGUCCUUUAAGUCGAUGUGAAAGCCCACGGCUCAACCGUGGAGGGUCAUUGGAAACUGGGGGACUUGAGUACAGAAGAGAAGAGUGGAAUUCCACGUGUAGCGGUGAAAUGCGUAGAGAUGUGGAGGAACACCAGUGGCGAAGGCGACUCUUGGUCUGUAACUGACGCUGAGGCGCGAAAGCGUGGGGAGCAAACAGG